AUUGAACGCUGGCGGAAUGCUUUACACAUGCAAGUCGAACGGCAGCGCGGGGGCAACCCUGGCGGCGAGUGGCGAACGGGUGAGUAAUACAUCGGAACGUGCCCAGUCGUGGGGGAUAACGUAGCGAAAGCUACGCUAAUACCGCAUACGAUCUGAGGAUGAAAGCGGGGGACCUUCGGGCCUCGCGCGAUUGGAGCGGCCGAUGGCAGAUUAGGUAGUUGGUGGGGUAAAGGCUCACCAAGCCUGCGAUCUGUAGCUGGUCUGAGAGGACGACCAGCCACACUGGGACUGAGACACGGCCCAGACUCCUACGGGAGGCAGCAGUGGGGAAUUUUGGACAAUGGGCGCAAGCCUGAUCCAGCCAUUCCGCGUGCAGGAUGAAGGCCUUCGGGUUGUAGACUGCUUUUGUACGGAACGAAACGACCUUCUCUAAUACAGGGGGUUAAUGACGGUACCGUAAGAAUGAGCACCGGCUAACUACGUGCCAGCCGCCGCUGUAA
rnacentral:rRNA from 1 species